rnacentral:lncRNA from 1 species
UCACAUCGAAUCUUACGGCACAUGCAUGGAGCAUUAAAUAUAAAUGAAAAUAAAAACUAAUUGCACAGUUUGUCUGUAAAUUACGAGACGAAUCUUUUAAUUCUAGUUAUUCUAUAAUUGGAUAAUGUUUGUCAAAUAAAAACAAAAGUGCUACAGUGUCAAAAUCCAAAAAAAAAAUAGAUCUAAGCCUUAGCCGAUUUUAUGGUCAGCCCGAACAUACAUGUGAUGUAUUGUCGACGGCACUCACACGCG